rnacentral:rRNA from 1 species
AGUGAACGCUGGCGGUAGGCCUAACACAUGCAAGUCGAACGGCAGCACAGGAGAGCUUGCUCUCUGGGUGGCGAGUGGCGGACGGGUGAGGAAUACAUCGGAAUCUACUCUGUCGUGGGGGAUAACGUAGGGAAACUUACGCUAAUACCGCAUACGACCUACGGGUGAAAGCAGGGGAUCUUCGGACCUUGCGCGAUUGAAUGAGCCGAUGUCGGAUUAGCUAGUUGGCGGGGUAAAGGCCCACCAAGGCGACGAUCCGUAGCUGGUCUGCGAGGACGAUCAGCCACACUGGAACUGAGACACGGUCCAGACUCCUACGGGAGGCAGCAGUGGGGAGUAUUGGACAAUGGGCGCAAGCCUGAUCCAGCCAUACCGCGUGGGUGAAGAAGGCCUUCGGGUUGUAAAGCCCUUUUGUUGGGAAAGAAAUCCAGCUGGCUAAUACCCGGUUGGGAUGACGGUACCCAAAGAAUAAGCACCGGCUAACUUCGUGCCAGCCGCCGCAGUAA